GUCGAGCGGAAAGGCCCUUCGGGGUACUCGAGCGGCGAACGGGUGAGUAACACGUGAGCAACCUGCCCCAGGCUUUGGGAUAACCCCGGGAAACCGGGGCUAAUACCGAAUAUGACCUCCGACCGCAUGGUUGGUGGUGGAAAGUUUUUCGGCUUGGGAUGGGCUCGCGGCCUAUCAGCUUGUUGGUGGGGUGAUGGCCUACCAAGGCGACGACGGGUAGCCGGCCUGAGAGGGCGACCGGCCACACUGGGACUGAGACACGGCCCAGACUCCUACGGGAGGCAGCAGUGGGGAAUAUUGCACAAUGGGCGGAAGCCUGAUGCAGCGACGCCGCGUGAGGGAUGACGGCCUUCGGGUUGUAAACCUCUUUCAGCAGGGACGAAGCGUAAGUGACGGUACCUGCAGAAGAAGCGCCGGCCAACUACGUGCCAGCAGCCGCGGUAAGACGUAGGGCGCGAGCGUUGUCCGGAUUUAUUGGGCGUAAAGAGCUCGUAGGCGGCUUGUCGCGUCGACCGUGAAAACCUGGGGCUCAACCCCAGGCCUGCGGUCGAUACGGGCAGGCUAGAGUUCGGUAGGGGAGACUGGAAUUCCUGGUGUAGCGGUGAAAUGCGCAGAUAUCAGGAGGAACACCGGUGGCGAAGGCGGGUCUCUGGGCCGAUACUGACGCUGA
rnacentral:rRNA from 1 species